rnacentral:rRNA from 1 species
AGAGUUUGAUCCUGGCUCAGAACGAACGCUGGCGGCAUGCCUAACACAUGCAAGUCGAACGAGACCUUCGGGUCUAGUGGCGCACGGGUGCGUAACGCGUGGGAACCUGCCCUUGGGUUCGGAAUAACGUCGGGAAACUGACGCUAAUACCGGAUAAUGUCUUCGGACCAAAGAUUUAUCGCCAAAGGAUGGGCCCGCGUAGGAUUAGCUAGUUGGUGGGGUAACGGCUCACCAAGGCGACGAUCCUUAGCUGGUCUUAGAGGAUGAUCAGCCACACUGGGACUGAGACACGGCCCAGACUCCUACGGGAGGCAGCAGUGGGGAAUAUUGGACAAUGGGCGAAAGCCUGAUCCAGCAAUGCCGCGUGAGUGAUGAAGGCCUUAGGGUUGUAAAGCUCUUUUACCCGGGAUGAUAAUGACAGUACCGGGAGAAUAAGCCCCGGCUAACUCCGUGCCAGCAGCCGCGGUAAUACGGAGGGGGCUAGCGUUGUUCGGAAAUACUGGGCGUAAAGCGCACGUAGGCGGUGAAGUAAGUCAGAGGUGAAAUCCCAGGGCUCAACCCUGGAACUGCCUUUGAAACUGCUACACUUGAAUCUUGGA